rnacentral:rRNA from 1 species
ACCUGGUCUUGACAUCCACAGAACUUAGCAGAGAUGCUUUGGUGCCUUCGGGAACUGUGAGACAGGUGCUGCAUGGCUGUCGUCAGCUCGUGUUGUGAAAUGUUGGGUUAAGUCCCGCAACGAGCGCAACCCUUAUCCUUUGUUGCCAGCGGUCCGGCCGGGAACUCAAAGGAGACUGCCAGUGAUAAACUGGAGGAAGGUGGGGAUGACGUCAAGUCAUCAUGGCCCUUACGACCAGGGCUACACACGUGCUACAAUG